UGGUGACUAUAGCAAGGAGGUCACACCUGUUCCCAUGCCGAACACAGAAGUUAAGCUCCUUAGCGUCGAUGGUAGUCGAACUUACGUUCCGCUAGAGUAGAAUGUUGCCAGGCA
rnacentral:rRNA from 1 species